CAGAGGUCCCAAGCGUUGUUCGGAUUCACUGGGCUAAAGGGUGCGUAGGCGGUCGGGUAAGUCUGAUGUGAAAUCUCACAGCUUAACUGUGAAACUGCAUUGGAUACUAUUCGGCUUGAGAGUUGGAGGGGGGACUGGAAUUCUCGGUGUAGCAGUGAAAUGCGUAGAUAUCGAGAGGAACACCAGUGGCGAAGGCGAGUCCCUGGACAACUUCUGACGCUGAGGCACGAAAGCUAGGGGAGCAAACAGGAUUAGAUACCCUGGUAGUCCUAGCUGUAAACGGUGCUUAUUUGCUGUAAAAGGAAUCGACCCCUUUUGUGGCGUAGCAAACGCGUUAAAUAAGCCGCCUGGGAAGUACGGUCGCAAGAUUA
rnacentral:rRNA from 1 species